GAUGAACGCUGGCGGCGUGCCUAAUACAUGCAAGUCGAGCGAACGGACGAUAAGCUUGCUUUUCUGAUGUUAGCGGCGGACGGGUGAGUAACACGUGGAUAACCUACCUAUAAUACUGGGAUAACUUCGGGAAACCGGUGCUAAUACCGGAUAAUAUUUUGAACCGCAUGGUUCAAAAGUGAAAGACGGUCUUGCUGUCACUUAUAGAUGGAUCCGCGCUGCAUUAGCUAGUUGGUAAGGUAACGGCUUACCAAGGCAACGAUGCAUAGCCGACCUGAGAGGGUGAUCGGCCACACUGGAACUGAGACACGGUCCAGACUCCUACGGGAGGCAGCAGUAGGGAAUCUUCCGCAAUGGGCGAAAGCCUGACGGAGCAACGCCGCGUGAGUGAUGAAGGUCUUCGGAUCGUAAAACUCUGUUAUUAGGGAAGAACAUAUGUGUAAGUAACUGUGCACAUCUUGACGGUACCUAAUCAGAAAGCCACGGCUAACUACGUG
rnacentral:rRNA from 1 species